rnacentral:rRNA from 1 species
GCUAACAUGCAGUCGAACGUACCCGCAAGGGGAAGUGGCGAAAGGGUCAGUAACGCGAUCGAACGUGCCCCGAGGUGGGGAAUAGGGCGGGGAAACUCGCCAUAAUGCCCCAUGAUCUCUCCGGAGCAAAGGCCACCCUUAAAAGUGGGCGCCUUGGGAUCGGCGAUCGUCCUAUCAGGUAGUUGGCGGGGUAAAAGCCCACCAAGCCGAAGACGGGUAGCAGGUGUGAGAGCACGACCUGCGACAUCGGAACUGAGACACUGUCCGGACUCCUACGGGAGGCUGCAAUAACGAAUCUUCCGCAAUGGGCGAAAGCCUGACGGAGCAAUGCCGCGUGCGGGAUGAAGCGUCUACGACGUGUAAACCGCUGUCAGGGGGCAGAACCAAUGAUCGCCCCCAGAGGAAGUGGCGACUAACUCUGUGCCAGCAGUCGCGGUAAUACAGAGGCCACAAGCGUUAAUCGGAAUCACUGGGCUUAAAGGGUGCGUAGGCGGACCGGCAAGCGUCUUGUGAAAUCCCACGGCUCAACCGUGGAACAGCAGGGCGAACUGCCGGUCUUGAGGAAGGUAGGGGCUGCCAGAACAGUAGGUGGAGCGGUGAAAUGCGUAGAGAUCUACUGGAAUGCCGAUGGUGAAGACGGGCAGCUGGGCCUUUCCUGACGCUGAGGCACGAAAGCGUGGGGAGCAAACAGGAUUAGAUACCCUGGUAGUCCACGCCGUAAACGAUGUACGCUAGAUCGGUGCGGGUCUGACCCCGUAUCGGUCGACGUGAAAACGAUAAGCGUACCGCCUGGGGAGUACGGUCGCAAGGCUA